rnacentral:SRP_RNA from 1 species
AAGCAGAGAGCUGCGUGAGGCAGGCUUCACAAGCAGAGA